rnacentral:rRNA from 1 species
AACUAUGUGCCAGCAGCUGCGGUAAUACAUAGGUCGCGAGCGUUAUUCGGAUUUAUUGGGCGUAAAGCAAGCGCAGGCGGAUUGAUAAGUUCUGUGUUAAAAGCAGCUGCUCAACAGUUGUUUGCACCGAAUACUGUCAGUCUAGAAUGUGGUAGGGAGUUUCGGAAUUAAAUAUGGAGCGGUGGAAUGUGUAGAUAUAUUUAAGAACACCAGAAGCGAAGGCGGAAACUCAGGCCAUUAUUGACGCUUAGGCUUGAAAGUGUGGGGAGCAAAUGGGAUUAGAUACCCCAGUAGUCCACACCGUAAACGAUGGGUAUUAGAUGUCGGGAUUUAAGUUUCGGCGUUGUAGCUUACGUGUUAAAUACCCCGCCUGGGUAGUACAUAUGCAAAUAUGAAACUCAAAGGAAUUGACGGGGACCUGAACAAGUGGUGGAACAUGUUGCUUAAUUCGAUAAUACACGAAAAACCUUACCAAGGUUUGACAUCCCCCGCAAAACCAUGGAAACAUGGCGGAGGUUAUCGGGGUGACAGGUGGUGCAUGGUUGUCGUCAGCUCGUGUCAUGAGAUGUUUGGUUAAGUCCCGCAACGAGCGCAACCCUACUCCUUAGUUACCUUUUCUAGGGAGACUGAACAGUAAUGUAUAGGAAGGUUGGGAUCACGUCAAAUCAUCAUGCCCCUUAUGCCUUGGGCUGCAAACGUGUUACAAUGGCGAGUACAAUGUGUCGCAAGCUAGCGAUAGCAAGCCAAUCACCUAAAACUCGUCUCAGUUCGGAUAGGAGGCUGCAAUUCGCCUCCUUGAAGUCGGAAUCACUAGUAAUCCCGUGUCAGCUAUAUCGGGGUGAAUACGUUCCCAGGUCUUGUACAC